UACAGAGGGUGCGAGCGUUGUCCGGAAUCAUUGGGCGUAAAGAGCGUGUAGGCGGCCCGGUAAGUCCGCUGUGAAAGUCCAGGGCUCAACCCUGGGAUGCCGGUGGAUACUGUCGGGCUCGAGUCCGGAAGAGGAGUGUGGAAUUCCUGGUGUAGCGGUGAAAUGCGCAGAUAUCAGGAGGAACACCAAUGGCGAAGGCAGCACUCUGGGACGUGACUGACGCUGAGACGCGAAAGCGUGGGGAGCAAACAGG
rnacentral:rRNA from 1 species